ensembl:lncRNA
CGAAAGAAAAUGGGAUUUUUCAAACAUGUUGUAAAAACGUGCCAUAUGAUGAAAUAAUGUAAAGGAGGCCGUGAAAAACACUCCAGAAAGGUUUUCUUUGAAAAAAAAAUCAUCAUGAAUUUUGGCGCAAAAAAAACGCCUUACUAUACUAUGUCGAAAAAAAAUGCAAUUUUUUAAACAGGUUGUAAAAACAUGUCAUAUGAUGAAAUAAUGUAAAGGAGGCCGUGAAAAACACUCCAGAAAGGUUUUCUUUCAAAAAAAAAAUCAGCAUGAAUUUUGGCGCAAAAAAAACUGCCGUACUAUACUAUGUUGAAAAAAAUGCGAUUUUUCAAACAUGUUUUAAAAACGUGCCAUAUGAUGAAAUAAUGUAAAGGAGGCCAUGAAAAACACUCCAGAAAGGUUUACUUUGAAAAAAAAAAUCAGUAUGAAUUUUGGCGCAAAAAAAACGCCUUACUAUACUAUGUCGAAAGAAAAUGGGAUUUUUCAAACAUGUUGUAAAAACGUGCCAUAUGAUGAAAUAAUGUAAAGGAGGCCGUGAAAAACACUCCAGAAAGGUUUUCUUUGAAAAAAAAAUCAUCAUGAAUUUUGGCGCAAAAAAAACGCCUUACUAUACUAUGUCGAAAAAAAAUGCGAUUUUUCAAACAUGUUUUAAAAACGUGUUAUAUGAUGAAAUAAUGUAAAGGAGGCUGUGAAAAACACUCCAGAAAGGUUUUCUUUGAAAAAAAAAUCAGAAUGAAUUUUGGCGCAAAAAAAACACCUUACUAUACUAUGUCGAAAAAAAAUGCAAUUUUUUAAACAUGUUGAAAAACGUGUCAUAUGAUGAAAUAAUGUAAAGGAGGCCGUGAAAAACACUCCAGAAAGGUUUUCUUUGAAAAAAAAAAAUCAGAAUGAAUUUUGGCGCAAAAAAACGCCUUACUAUACUAUGUCGAAAGAAAAUGGGAUUUUUCAAACAUGUUGUAAAAACGUGCCAUAUGAUGAAAUAAUGUAAAGGAGGCCGUGAAAAACACUCCAGAAAGGUUUUCUUUGAAAAAAAAAUCAUCAUGAAUUUUGGCGCAAAAAAAACGCCUUACUAUACUAUGUCGAAAAAAAAUGGGAUUUUUCAAACAUGUUGUAAAAACAUGUCAUAUGAUGAAAUAAUGUAAAGGAGGCCGUGGAAAAACACUCCAGAAAGGUUUUCUUUCAAAAAAAAAAUCAGCAUGAAUUUUGGCGCAAAAAAAACUGCCGUACUAUACUAUGUUGAAAAAAAUGCGAUUUUUCAAACAUGUUUUAAAAACGUGCCAUAUGAUGAAAUAAUGUAAAGGAGGCCAUGAAAAACACUCCAGAAAGGUUUUCUUUGAAAAAAAAAUCAUCAUGAAUUUUGGCGCAAAAAAAACGCCUUACUAUACUAUGUCGAAAAAAAAUGCGAUUUUUCAAACAUGUUUUAAAAACGUGUCAUAUGAUGAAAUAAUGUAAAGGAGGCCGUGAAAAACACUCCAGAAAAGUUUUCUUUGCAAAAAAAAAUCUGCAUGAAUUUUGGCACAAAAAAAACGCCUUACUAUACUAUGUCAAAAAAAAUGGGAUUUUUCAAACAUGUUGUAAAAAUGUGCCAUAUGAAGAAAUAAUGUAAAGGAGGCCGUGAAAAACACUCCAGAAAGGUUUUCUUUUAAAAAAAAAUCAUCAUGAAUUUUUGCGCAAAAAAACGCCUUACUAUACUAUGUCGAAAAAAAUGCAAUUUUUCAAACAUGUUUUAAAAACGUGUCAUAUGAUGAAAUAAUGUAAAGGACGCCGUGAAAAACACUCCAGAAAG